CAGCUACUCCCUCCGUCCCAAAAUAAGUGUCUCAAGCUUAGUACAACUUUGUACUAAAGAUAGUACAAAGUUGAGACACUUAUUUUGGGACGGAGGGAGUACAAU
rfam:Triticum aestivum genome assembly, contig: Triticum_aestivum_CS42_TGACv1_scaffold_288180_4AL